ACGAACGCUGGCGGCGUGCUUAACACAUGCCAGUCGCACGGAAAGGCCCUGCUUUUGUGGGGUGCUCGAGUGGCGAACGGGUGAGUAACACGUUAGUAACCUGCCCUUGACUUUGGGAUAACUUCAGGAAACUGGGGCUAAUACCGGAUAGGAGCUCCUGCUGCCUGGUGGGGGUUGGAAAGUUUCGGCGGUUGGGGAUGGACUCGCGGCUUAUCAGCUUGUUGGUGGGGUAGUGGCUUACCAAGGCUUUGACGGGUAGCCGGCCUGAGAGGGUGACCGGGCACAUUGGGACUGAGAUACGGCGCAGACUCCAACGGGAGGCAGCAGUGGGGAAUAUUGCACAAUGGGCGGAAGCCUGAUGCAGCAACGCCGCGUGCGGGAUGACGGCCUUCGGGUUGUAAACCGCUUUCGCCUGUGACGAAGCGUGAGUGACGGUAAUGGGUAAAGAAGCACCGGCUAACUACGUG
rnacentral:rRNA from 1 species